rnacentral:rRNA from 1 species
UACGUAGGGGGCAAGCGUUGUCCGGAAUCAUUGGGCGUAAAGAGCGUGUAGGCGGUCCGUUAAGUCGGCUGUGAAAGUCCAAGGCUCAACCUUGGGAUGCCGGUCGAUACUGCCGGACUAGAGUUCGGAAGAGGCGAGUGGAAUUCCCGGUGUAGCGGUGAAAUGCGUAGAUAUCUGGAGGAACACCGGUGGCGAAGGCGACAUCCUGGACCAACACUGACGCUGAGUGAGCGAAAAGCCAGGGGAGCAAACGGG